rnacentral:RNase_P_RNA from 1 species
GAAAGCAGGCGAGGUGGUCGCAAUCGGAGCGGAAGUCCGGCCUUCGGGGCGGAAUGCCGGGUCCGGUUGAGGAAAGUCCGGGCUCCCCAAUGGCCAGGCCUGCUGGGUAACGCCCAGUGCGGGCGACCGUGAGGACAGUGCCACAGAAACACACCGCCGAUGGCCCGGGUUCGCCCGGCGCACAGGCAAGGGUGCAAGGGUGCGGUAAGAGCGCACCAGCAGCAUCGAGAGGUGCUGGCUCGGUAAACCCCGGCUGGGAGCAAGGCCCAGGGACAACGGUUGGCCAUGGCACCCGUCCCGACACAAGCGCGCCGCUCGAGGCCGUCGGUAACGGCGGUCCCAGAUAGAUGACUGCCCCGGUCCGCUCCGGCGGGCUGGAACAGAACCCGGCUUAUGUCCUGCUUUCACCC